CAGCUUCAUAUUUUAUUUAGAAUAUUAACUUUGGGGGUUAAAGGUCUUUGCUUGAUUGAGUGAGCUGA
rnacentral:tRNA from 1 species